GACGAACGCUGGCGGCGUGCCUAAUACAUGCAAGUCGAACGAACUCUGGUAUUGAUUGGUGCUUGCAUCAUGAUUUACAUUUGAGUGAGUGGCGAACUGGUGAGUAACACGUGGGAAACCUGCCCAGAAGCGGGGGAUAACACCUGGAAACAGAUGCUAAUACCGCAUAACAACUUGGACCGCAUGGUCCGAGUUUGAAAGAUGGCUUCGGCUAUCACUUUUGGAUGGUCCCGCGGCGUAUUAGCUAGAUGGUGAGGUAACGGCUCACCAUGGCAAUGAUACGUAGCCGACCUGAGAGGGUAAUCGGCCACAUUGGGACUGAGACACGGCCCAAACUCCUACGGGAGGCAGCAGUAGGGAAUCUUCCACAAUGGACAAAAGUCUGAUGGAGCAACGCCGCGUGAGUGAAGAAGGGUUUCGGCUCGUAAAACUCUGUUGUUAAAGAAGAACAUAUCUGAGAGUAACUGUUCAGGUAUUGACGGUAUUUAACCAGAAAGCCACGGCUAACUACGUGCCAGCAGCCGCGGUAAUACGUAGGUGGCAAGCGUUGUCCGGAUUUAUUGGGCGUAAAGCGAGCGCAGGCGGUUUUUUAAGUCUGAUGUGAAAGCCUUCGGCUCAACCGAAGAAGUGCAUCGGAAACUGGGGAACCUGAGUGCAGAAGAGGACAGUGGAACUCCAUGUGUAGCGGUGAAAUGCGUAGAUAUAUGGAAGAACACCAGUGGCGAAGGCGGCUGUCUGGUCUGUAACUGACGCUGAGGCUCGAAAGUAUGGGUAGCAAACAGGAUUAGAUACCCUGGUAGUCCAUACCGUAAACGAUGAAUGCUAAGUGUUGGAGGGUUUCCGCCCUUCAGUGCUGCAGCUAACGCAUUAAGCAUUCCGCCUGGGGAGUACGGCCGCAAGGCUGAAACUCAAAGGAAUUGACGGGGGCCCGCACAAGCGGUGGAGCAUGUGGUUUAAUUCGAAGCUACGCGAAGAACCUUACCAGGUCUUGACAUACUAUGCAAAUCUAAGAGAUUAGACGUUCCCUUCGGGGACAUGGAUACAGGUGGUGCAUGGUUGUCGUCAGCUCGUGUCGUGAGAUGUUGGGUUAAGUCCCGCAACGAGCGCAACCCUUAUUAUCAGUUGCCAGCAUUAAGUUGGGCACUCUGGUGAGACUGCCGGUGACAAACCGGAGGAAGGUGGGGAUGACGUCAAAUCAUCAUGCCCCUUAUGACCUGGGCUACACACGUGCUACAAUGGAUGGUACAACGAGUUGCGAACUCGCGAGAGUAAGCUAAUCUCUUAAAGCCAUUCUCAGUUCGGAUUGUAGGCUGCAACUCGCCUACAUGAAGUCGGAAUCGCUAGUAAUCGCGGAUCAGCAUGCCGCGGUGAAUACGUUCCCGGGCCUUGUACACACCGCCCGUCACACCAUGAGAGUUUGUAACACCCAAAGUCGGUGGGGUAACCUUUUAGGAACCAGCCGCCUAAGGUGGGACAGAUGAUUAGGGUG
rnacentral:rRNA from 1 species